AGCGGAAGUUUUCCCAGCUUGCUUCGGCGGCUGGAUUGCGAGUACGCUCUUUGUCUGAACCCUUGUCUUUUUGCGUACUCAUGUUUCCUCGGCGGGCUUGCCCGCCGACUGGACAACCUUAAAACCUUUUUAAUUUUCAAUCAGCGUCUGAAUAAUUAUAAUAAUUACAACUUUCAACAACGGAUCUCUUGGUUCUGGCAUCGAUGAAGAACGCAGCGAAAUGCGAUAAGUAGUGUGAAUUGCAGAAUUCAGUGAAUCAUCGAAUCUUUGAACGCACAUUGCGCCCCUUGGUAUUCCAUGGGGCAUGCUUGUUCGAGCGUCAUUUGUACUCUCAAGCUCUGCUUGGUGUUGGGUGUUUGUCCUUUCCCUGCGUUAGGACUCGCCUCAAAUUCAUUGGCAGCCGAUAUAUUGGUUUGAAGCGCAGCACAAUUUGCGAUUCGGGCUGGUUAUUGUUGGCGUCCAGUAAGCACAUUUAACACUUUUGACCUCGGAUCAAGUAGGGAUACCCGCUGAACUUAAGCAUAUCAAUAAGCGGAGGAAAAGAAACCAACAGGGAUUGCCCUAGUAACGGCGAGUGAAGCGGCAACAGCUCAAAUUUGAAAUCUGGCUCUUUUAGGGUCCGAGUUGUAAUUUGCAGAGGGCGCUUUGGCGUUGGCAGCGGUCCAAGUUCUUUGGAACAGGACGUCACAGAGGGUGAGAAUCCCGUACGUGGUCGCUAUCCUUCGCCGUGUAAAGCCCCUUCGACGAGUCGAGUUGUUUGGGAAUGCAGCUCUAAAUGGGAGGUAAAUUUCUUCUAAAGCUAAA
rnacentral:sRNA from 1 species